ACAAUAAAAAUCCUUUGCUGACAAGCGUUUUGAUAGAUCUGGCAUUGGUGACCACCUGACAAUCGUGGAGAUCAAUCAUUGCCGCUGAAUCAUGCAAAUUUCAAACUAUCGGCUGAUUUCAAAGAUGACCAGUUCUUUUGAGACAUAUUGUAAGAUAUUUUGAUUACAAAAAAUUUGCAAAGAUCAUCAAGUGUACGCUCACUACGCUGAAAUCGAUCGAGGUGUUUAACUACACUGUGACGCAUUUGGAAGAAAUAAAAGCAUAGAGCACUGUUUUACCCGCUGUUAAUCAAGUUGUACUAGAUUUUGAAACCCUUAAUUAGCAUUAAAUUUGUUUCUAUAUCUCAAAUAUAAUACGCUUUAAUAAUUAUUUAAAACAU